UACGUAGGGUGCGAGCGUUGUCCGGAAUUAUUGGGCGUAAAGGGCUCGUAGGCGGUUUGUCGCGUCGGGAGUGAAAACCCAGGGCUUAACCCUGGGCUGGCUUCCGAUACGGGCAGACUAGAGGUAUGCAGGGGAGAACGAAUUCCUGGUGUAGCGGUGAAAUGCGCAGGAUAUCAGGAGGAACACCGGUGGCGAAGGCGGUUCUCUGGGCAUUACCUGACGCUGAGGAGCGAAAGUGUGGGGAGCGAACAGG
rnacentral:rRNA from 1 species